AGGACGAGCGCUUGCGGCGUGCCUAAGAAAUGCAAGUCGAACGGAUACUUUCGAGUAUUAGUGGCGAACGGUCGCGUAACACGUAGGCAACCUGCCCAAAAGUGGGGGACAACAGCCUGAAAGGGCUGCUAAUACCGCAUGUGGCUCCAUUGUGGCAUCACUUUGGAUCUAAAGCUUAAUGCGCUUUUGGAUGGGCUUGCGGCCUAUCAGGUAGUUGGUGGGGUAAUGGCCUACCAAGCCGACGACGGGUAGCUGGUCUGAGAGGACGAUCAGCCGGAUUGGGACUGAGAUACGGCCCAGACUCCUACGGGGGGCAGCAAUUAGGAAUCUUGCGCAAUGGGGGGCAACCCUGACGCAGCGACGCCGCGUGCGGAUGAAGGCAUUCGUGUCGUAAACCGCUUUUUUACGGGAAGAAGCAUUUGACGGUACCCGUCGAAUAAGCCCGGACUAACUACGUGCCAGCAGCCGC
rnacentral:rRNA from 1 species